GCUCAUAACAUGCAAGUCGAGGGGCAGCACGAUAAAGCUUGCUUUAUUGGUGGCGACCGGCGCACGGGUGCGUAACGCGUAUGCAACCUACCUUAUACUGGGGUAUAGCCCGGAUAAAUUCGGAUUAAUCCCCCAUAGUAUUAUCGAUUCGCAUGUUUUGAUAAUUAAAGGUUACGGUAUAAGAUGGGCAUGCGUCCCAUUAGCUAGAUGGUGAGGUAACGGCUCACCAUGGCGACGAUGGGUAGGGGGCCUGAGAGGGUGGUCCCCCACACUGGUACUGAGACACGGACCAGACUCCUACGGGAGGCAGCAGUGAGGAAUAUUGGUCAAUGGACGCAAGUCUGAACCAGCCAUGCCGCGUGGAGGAUGAAGGUCCUCUGGAUUGUAAACUUCUUUUAUCUGGGAAGAAAUGCCGAUUUUCUAAUUGGUUUGACGGUACCAGACGAAUAAGCACCGGCUAACUCCGUGCCAGCAGCCGCGGUAAUACGGAGGGUGCAAGCGUUAUCCGGAUUCACUGGGUUUAAAGGGUGCGUAGGCGGAAUUGUAAGUCCGUGGUGAAAUCUCCGAGCUUAACUCGGAAACUGCCGUGGAUACUAUAGUUCUUGAAUGUUGUGGAGGUUUGCGGAAUAUGUCAUGUAGCGGUGAAAUGCUUAGAUAUGACAUAGAACACCGAUUGCGAAGGCAGCAGGCUACACAAAUAUUGACGCUGAGGCACGAAAGCGUGGGGAUCAAACAGGAUUAGAUACCCUGGUAGUCCCACGCCCUAAACGAUGAUUACUCGACAUACGCGAUAUACAGUGUGUCUCUGAGCGAAAGCAUUAAGUAAUCCACCUGGGAAGUAC
rnacentral:rRNA from 1 species